UACGGGGGGGCAAGCGUUGUUCGGAAUUACUGGGCGUAAAGGGCUCGUGGGCGGCCAACUAAGUCAGACGUGAAAUCCCUCGGCUUAACCGGGGAACUGCAUCUGAUACUGGAUGGCUUGAGUUCGGAGAGGUGAGUGGAACUGCGAGUGUAGAGGUGAAAUUCGUAGAUAUUCGCAAGAACACCAGUGGCGAAGGCGGCUCACUGGCCCGAUACUGACGCUGAGGCACGAAAGCGUGGG
rnacentral:rRNA from 1 species